rnacentral:tRNA from 1 species
UUCUAGAGUACAAAGUAAUAAGUCUCACAACUAUUACUUCAUUAUAAACUCAAUUGAUUCUUGUUUAGAUUUCAAAGAUUGAUGAUAAAGCUAAUUGUUUAUGGGGAAUUAGCUCAGCUGGGAGAGCGCCUGCUUUGCACGCAGGAGGUCAGCGGUUCGAUCCCGCUAUUCUCCACCAUUUAUUAAGGGCCUAUAGCUCAGCUGGUUAGAGUGCACCCCUGAUAAGGGUGAGGUCACAAGUUCAAGUCUUGUUAGGCCCACCAUAGAAGUAUCAAUCUUAAAAAGAUAAAAACAAGAUUUGAAAUCAAGCUUUAAAAUCUAAAGCAAGUAUAUAUUUAUAAAUAUACUUUAUAUACCAUAUACUUCCUUUAGGUUUUAAACCUAAAUGUUCUUUAUAAUUAUCAUUGUUAAGAGUCACAAGCAAGUUUUAAUAAAAACAAUUUUACAGGACUUGUUAAAGGAUAAAACUCAAUUAUCUUUUCUUUGGUUUUAUUUAUAUCUUUUAACUAUCUUUAUUUUUUAUAAUAAAGAGAAUAUUAGAUCUAAAAUUUUAAAUUAAAGAUAAGUUUCAAACUCACGACUUAGUUUAGAUAUUUUUAGUAUUUAUAUUAAGUGUUUGAAUGCUUUCCGUCUUAAGAUAAUGAAGUCUUAUCGUAAAAACUUUAACAAGGAAGUGAUGCGUUUUAGAAUCAAUAAUAAAAGGUAAAAAAGGUA